rnacentral:rRNA from 1 species
AUUGAACGCUGGCGGCAUGCUUUACACAUGCAAGUCGGACGGCAGCACAGAGAAGCUUGCUUCUUGGGUGGCGAGUGGCGAACGGGUGAGUAACAUAUCGGAACGUACCGGGCAGUGGGGGAUAACUAAUCGAAAGAUUAGCUAAUACCGCAUAUCUUCUGAGGAAGAAAGCAGGGGACCAUUUGGCCUUGCGCUGUUUGAGCGGCCGAUAUCUGAUUAGCUAGUUGGUGGGGUAAAGGCCUACCAAGGCGACGAUCAGUAGCGGGUCUGAGAGGAUGAUCCGCCACACUGGGACUGAGACACGGCCCAGACUCCUACGGGAGGCGGCAGUGGGGAAUUUUGGACAAUGGGCGCAAGCCUGAUCCAGCCAUGCCGCGUGUCUGAAGAAGGCCUUCGGGUUGUAAAGGACUUUUGUCAGGGAAGAAAAGGGCGGGGUUAAUACCCCUGUCUGAUGACGUAC